CCUACGGGGGGCAGCAGUGGGGAAUAUUGGACAAUGGGGGGAACCCUGAUCCAGCCAUGCCGCGUGUGUGAAGAAGGCCCUCGGGUUGUAAAGCACUUUCAGUGAGGAAGAACGCCUGGUGGUUAAUACCCAUCAGGAAAGACAUCACUCACAGAAGAAGCACCGGCUAACUCCGUGCCAGCAGCCGCGGUAAUACGGAGGGUGCGAGCGUUAAUCGGAAUUACUGGGCGUAAAGCGCGCGUAGGUGGCUUGAUAAGCCGGUUGUGAAAGCCCCGGGCUCAACCUGGGAACGGCAUCCGGAACUGUCAAGCUAGAGUGAAGGAGAGGAAGGUAGAAUUCCCGGUGUAGCGGUGAAAUGCGUAGAGAUCGGGAGGAAUACCAGUGGCGAAGGCGGCCUUCUGGACUGACACUGACACUGAGGUGCGAAAGCGUGGGUAGCAAACAGGAUUAGAUACCCCAGUAGUC
rnacentral:rRNA from 1 species